UAGGUUAAUGAGGCGAACCGGGGGAACUGAAACAUCUAAGUACCCCGAGGAAAAGAAAUCAACCGAGAUUCCCCCAGUAGCGGCGAGCGAACGGGGAGGAGCCCAGAGCCUGAAUCAGCAUGUGUGUUAGUGGAAGCGUCUGGAAAGGCGCGCGAUACAGGGUGACAGCCCCGUACACAAAAGCGCAUGUGCUGUGAGCUCGAUGAGUAGGGCGGGACACGUGGUAUCCUGUCUGAAUAUGGGGGGACCAUCCUCCAAGGCUAAAUACUCCUGACUGACCGAUAGUGAACCAGUACCGUGAGGGAAAGGCGAAAAGAACCCCGGCGAGGGGAGUGAAAAAGAACCUGAAACCGUGUACGUACAAGCAGUGGGAGCACAGGUUUACCUGUGUGACUGCGUACCUUUUGUAUAAUGGGUCAGCGACUUAUAUUCUGUAGCAAGGUUAACCGUAUAGGGGAGCCGGAGGGAAACCGAGUCUUAACCGGGCGUUAAGUUGCAGGGUAUAGACCCGAAACCCGGUGAUCUAGCCAUGGGCAGGUUGAAGGUUGGGUAACACUAACUGGAGGACCGAACCGACUAAUGUUGAAAAAUUAGCGGAUGACCUGUGGCUGGGGGUGAAAGGCCAAUCAAACCGGGAGAUAGCUGGUUCUCCCCGAAAGCUAUUUAGGUAGCGCCUCGUGAAUUCAUCUCCGGGGGUAGAGCACUGUUUCGGCUAGGGGGCCAUCCCGGCUUACCAACCCGAUGCAAACUGCGAAUACCGGAGAAUGUUAUCACGGGAGACACACGGCGGGUGCUAACGUCCGUCGUGAAGAGGGAAACAACCCAGACCGCCAGCUAAGGUCCCAAAGUCAUGGUUAAGUGGGAAACGAUGUGGGAAGGCCCAGACAGCCAGGAUGUUGGCUUAGAAGCAGCCAUCAUUUAAAGAAAGCGUAAUAGCUCACUGGUCGAGUCGGCCUGCGCGGAAGAUGUAACGGGGCUAAACCAU
rnacentral:rRNA from 1 species